rnacentral:sRNA from 1 species
GCUUUGGCCGACCAAGUGUGUACCAUGCUGCUAUUGUCAUCUUCCUUGAAUUCUUUGCGUGGGGCCUGUUGACAACUCCAAUGUUGACUGUUCUACAUGAAACAUUUUCUCAACACACAUUCCUCAUGAAUGGUCUCAUUCAAGGUGUAAAG